UACGUAGGUGGCAAGCGUUGUCCGGAAUUACUGGGCGUAAAGCGCGUGUAGGCGGUUGUCCAAGUUGGAUGUGAAAGCCUUGAGCUCAACUCAAGAAAUGCAUUCAGGACUGGAUGACUAGAGGACCGGAGAGGAUAGUGGAAUUCCCAGUGUAGUGGUGAAAUACGUAGAGAUUGGGAAGAACACCAGUGGCGAAGGCGGCUAUCUGGACGGUUUCUGACGCUAAGACGCGAAAGCGUGGGGAGCAAACAGG
rnacentral:rRNA from 1 species